rnacentral:rRNA from 1 species
CCUACGGGAGGCAGCAGUGAGGAAUAUUGGUCAAUGGGCGCAAGCCUGAACCAGCCAUGCCGCGUGCAGGAUGACGGUCCUAUGGAUUGUAAACUGCUUUUGUACGGGAAGAAACCCUCCUACGUGUAGGAGCUUGACGGUACCGUAAGAAUAAGGAUCGGCUAACUCCGUGCCAGCAGCCGCGGUAAU